GGGCAAUCUGCCCUGCACUCUGGGAUAACUCCGGGAAACCGGAGCUAAUACCGGAUACGACUCUCCAGGGCAUCCUGGGGGGUGGAAAGCUCCGGCGGUGCAGGAUGAGCCCGCGGCCUAUCAGCUGGUUGGUGGGGUGAUGGCCUACCAAGGCGACGACGGGUAGCCGGCCUGAGAGGGCGACCGGCCACACUGGGACUGAGACACGGCCCAGACUCCUACGGGAGGCAGCAGUGGGGAAUAUUGCACAAUGGGCGCAAGCCUGAUGCAGCGACGCCGCGUGAGGGAUGACGGCCUUCGGGUUGUAAACCUCUUUCAGCAGGGAAGAAGCGUGAGUGACGGUACCUGCAGAAGAAGCACCGGCUAACUACGUGCCAGCAGCCGCGGUAAUACGUAGGGUGCGAGCGUUGUCCGGAAUUAUUGGGCGUAAAGAGCUCGUAGGCGGCUUGUCGCGUCGGAUGUGAAAGCCCGGGGCUUAACCCCGGGUCUGCAUUCGAUACGGGCAGGCUAGAGUUCGGUAGGGGAGAUCGGAAUUCCUGGUGUAGCGGUGAAAUGCGCAGAUAUCAGGAGGAACACCGGUGGCGAAGGCGGAUCUCUGGG
rnacentral:rRNA from 1 species